UGCUAGCGAACAGUCGUGUCUGGUGUAUCGUGUUGGCUGGGCCGGUCGUGUGCAGCGAUGGCGGAGCCUGAGCGUUGUAGGAUAAGGGACAUGAUGGGGAGGCUGCAACAACCACCUUCAGUAGCUCUCCGAAACCAACAUCUUUGUCAUGGGUCACUGAAUCAGCUGAGACUCUGCACUAUGUUUGACACUGGAGCUGUUGACCAUCUUACCAGCCCAGAGAGUAGUAAUGAGAGCCACUGCUGAAGAGCAUCUGGUCAUCAGAAGUCAUUCUGUUGAAGUGGCCAGAUGAGAACGAGACAGCUUCUCAUCCUUCAAGAAACAGUUAAAAACCAAUUCCAAGCAGCAACUUCAAGACUCUUA